GGCGAAUACACGACAACAGAUGGCGAUUCCCUGAUUAAAACCACAAUAGACUGAGAUACAAAGAGAACACAAAAGAACCUCAAACUAAUUCAAAACACGCACAGAAACAAAAACAUUCAGUUUUCCCCCCUGACUCAAACAUGUCUGCUGGAACAGUUUCAUUUCAUUGAGAAGUAGAGAUAAUCAAAAAGUCAUCUUUUCAAUGUGUCAGCAGCAUUCAGCCCAUUAAAUUUAACCUUCUUCACACAGGUCAUGUGAUGUCAUGGGAAUGUCUUUUUGUAAACCAACAGGGGGCAGUGCACUUCAAUCUUUGUGCAAAUGACAAGCUGCUCUGAUUGAAGGGCAAACUCUCCUCACUCUCCGCAUGUCAUUUUGGGUUAUAUUACUCAUUAAUGAUUAUACGUAUUUUCUCUCCAUGUGCUGAUACUAUCAGGUGACAAAUGCUGACGCUAAUGCUUUAAAAAUGAUGAUUGAGGCAAUUACUCCUACCUAUCAGCAUGAUGAAGCUAUGACUCAGCUUAUGAUGCCGAAUAAAACUAUUAAAGUUAUUCACAUUACUGUCGGAAACUUUCACAACACCUAAUGUUAUCUUUUGAUCGGUUUAAAAGAAUGAACAUUAAGCAAGUAGAGUGAGUUCUUACAUGUUUAGGGGUUAAUUCUUUGCCUGGUACUCAUCUUCUGGAGAAAUUAAGGUUCACCCCCACAUAAAUCUGAAUGAUCUGUAGAUAAUGAUGAAGCGCUCUAUGAUCUCUCUUCAGGAAUGUCUUCAUUAUUCCAGUAAAAUGCCAAUAAGUUCCUCUUUUGAGUUGUGACAGGAUACGUAAACUGAACAAAAAACGGAAACGGUGCAUGUACAACUCACAGUUCACUAACAGGGAUCUAUUUUUGCCAAACAAUCAUGUUUCUUAUCUUACAGUAAAAACCGCAAGUAACAAAAACCCUCUUUGUUGACAUUUUCCAUUUCCUCUGAGACUGGGCGCCAUGGCAACACUCCUCAGCAGGCGGGGCUACAGUCCCAAAAAAGGUCAGUAUGAGUGGAGAGGUCACAUGAAUUAUGUAUUAACCCUAGCUGACUCUCUUAUUAUGAUUGACCCCUAACUAAUUAUAUUUUUACUUGCACAAAGCUCGCAUUUUCUCUCUGCUAUAAUACGGAACAUGAGCCAUUUAUGGGCAGGAUGGCCCGAGUCCUGACCCC